CAGUCGCCGCGGGAAUACGAGGGGGGCAAGCGUUGUUCGGAUUUACUGGGCGUAAAGCGCACGUAGGCGGAUCGAUCAGUCAGGGGUGAAAUCCCAGAGCUCAACUCUGGAACUGCCUUUGAUACUGUCGAUCUGGAGUAUGGAAGAGGUGAGUGGAAUUCCGAGUGUAGAGGUGAAAUUCGUAGAUAUUCGGAGGAACACCAGUGGCGAAGGCGGCUCACUGGUCCAUUACUGACGCUGAGGUGCGAAAGCGUGGGGAGCAAACAGGAUUAGAUACCCCUGUAGUCCCUGUCUCUUAUAC
rnacentral:rRNA from 1 species